rnacentral:sRNA from 1 species
GUCAUUUAUCAAUAAAUAAAAGGAUCAAAAGCAAUUUCCACAGUGAUAAGGAUGCUAAUUUGCCCAGGACUUAGCCUUGAAGCCCUCGCCCAUCCUUAAGUUAUCUACCUUCCAUAUUUACCAGCUCUCAAGGAUGUUGCCUUUUGUGCUCAAAGACAGUGAGCCUCAUGAUGUGUAUUCUCAGCCCUACCUUGGUACCAUGCCUGAGGGUGGGCAUCCUGGAGCCAUCUGUGUCACCAGGAAUGGCUCGGGAACUUCUGUCCCUGGCCCCUUAGAGGAGGCAUGCUUGGGCUUCAGUUAGGCAGCCCCCUCCCCUUGGAGCAGACACAGCACAGAGCACACAAGGAGGAGGUGCUGUUGUAGCUACGGGAGUCAUUGUCCUCGAUUCCUGGCACGGAAUCCCCAAGUCCAUAACUUCCAGACAAUAGAGAAAGCCUCUUCUGCCCUAAUAUGUCACCUUUGACCUAGUCCCUGGUGCAGAACUUCCGAAUCCCGUGGGAUGCCCUAGGCUAUAGAAGCCUCUUUUGUCCCAGGGACCUUUUGCUGAUCCGCUGUUGAGGCUGGUCACCCCGUGAAAAUGUUCAGCCUCACCCCAUAUCUCACCCCAUAUCUCACCCCAUAUCCUCCAGCAAGUGAAGGGGACUGCAGACUGCCCUGAUGGUUGGUUGUAUCCUUAUGAUAGAGCCUCUGUAAAACAACAUCCCCUCAAUAGUGGGGCUUCAAGCGCUAGCUAUGCAUGCUGGGAGGAUGUUGUACCCAAUGGGACAUGGAACCUUCCCAUCCCUUCCUUCAUACCUUGCCUUGUACCUCUCUUCAGUGUGUCUCUUCCUGAGUUGUAUCCUUUUGCAAUAGGUUGGGUGAGUCAGGAAAGCAUUUCUGUGACCUCUGUGAAGACUUCUAGCAAAGGAUGGAUCCCAAAAGGAUUGUGAGAGCCUUGGAUUUGCAGCCAAAUCAGACAGAGGGCGACUAGGAUGUGUAUAUAAGUGCAAGUGGCUGUGGGGUCCAGAAAAGGACAUCACAGAGGAGGACGUCACAGAGGAGGACGUCACAGAGGAGGACGUCACAGAGGAGGACGCCACAGAGGAGGACAUCACAGAGGAGGACGCCACAGAGGAGGACAUCAGAUCCCUGAAGUGACAGGCGGCUGUAAGACAUUUGACAGGGGUACUGGGAACUGAACUCAAAAUCUUUGCAAGAGCUCUACAUGCUCUUUACCACUGAGUGAUCUCUGCAGUCUUCAAGUCGCCAUGUUUAAGAAUACAGAACUGGAGGACAUCCCUAUUGGUGUGUUGUCAUCACUACCAUCUAUCCACAGAACUUCCAAGGCCAACUCACUGUACCCAAGCAUUUUAAAGUGGAAACUCUGUUCACAGUUCAUGGGCCAUGUAAAGGCAGGUGCACACCAGCUCGCCCUAGAGGUCACAGUCUGCUGGCUCCAUAUUAGAGCAAAGCAUACCAGACGUUUCUGUGAUACUGAGAAGUGAGAGAGGGCCUUGGCCAGAGCCCACUCCCUUAGACAGCACGAGGACUGGCCGGGGGACCUUUCCUCUGCCCAGCGCCUGGGCUGAUGUCGCUGGUGAGCCUCGGAAAGGAGCUUCCUCCUCCCCCGAGGACUACUUAACUGGCAGGUGGAAUGAAAGGAGUUUUGUCUGAGAUGUGUACUGUAAAAUCCAGCUCACGUGGGAAGAUCGUCGCGAAUAAAGAGCUCCUGCUUGCAUCUUGAAAUGAAAGGGGGAACGUUCUCACCCUAUCACCGGAUAAACAUGCACUUAACAGUUUCAGUCAUUGUCCUCGAGAGUGCUUAUGUAUGCUAGCUAGCUAGGUACUAGAGAGAGUUUAUCCCUUUAAACAGGAACCAUGCCUACGACCGCCUGCUUCCUUUGUUACCUAAAUGCUCUAGGUUAUGGCCUUCUUUUGCUGUCCCUCAUCCUGAAUGAUUAAAUAAGGCUUCUCAAGUCAGAGUCUCCUCGGAAAACACUCUGAGGAUCAGCACUCCGUAGUAAGGAUGAGGACCCUUGGGUCUGCGGGUCUCAGGUGAUUUAGCUGUGCUGUGGUACUUGGGAGCCUCGGGCUUAGAUACAGUGCCCCUCUCUGCCACAUUCCCCAGAUGGUUCAGCAUUGGGUAUGGUAUGAAUUCACAAUUCAUGCUGAUGUAAAAGGAAGCCCCAAGUGGCACAGCAGGCAUCUGGCCUUGGAAACUGCUGCCAUGUAUUGGCGCUUGGUUCAGUUCCCCUGGGAGGUGCCUAAGGCCUCAUUUCUCCCAGACACCUGCUUUAACCGUCCUCCCUGCAGGCCCCGCCCUUUAUCUCUAGAGGAGAAUAGGAGACUGUGAUGCUUACCU